UGGCCAAUUUGAUUGGUGUCUAAGGAAAGCAAUGGGGGGACCCCCACUCAUCUUAACUUAUCUAGCCAUCUUGAGAGAUUCAGUUUCAUGCUAGGUUACUUGUUGACUCGAGUUCACCCAUGCCAACUAGACUGGUUAGAUAUAUAGAUGUAUUGACCUGAAUUUGAUUAGUUGGAUGCUGCAUCUGUUGAUUUAGAAGAGACCUAAACCUAAAUCUCCUCACUAAAUAUUAAGUCUAGAGGUCUUCCAUUGUUGAAGAGAUAUGGGUGUCUUUCUGACGUUGAUUGUUCUCGACUGGUUAUAGUGGUUCGGU
rnacentral:lncRNA from 1 species